UACGAAGGGUGCAAGCGUUACUCGGAAUUACUGGGCGUAAAGCGUGCGUAGGUGGUUUGUUAAGUCUGAUGUGAAAGCCCUGGGCUCAACCUGGGAAUUGCAUUGGAUACUGGCAGGCUAGAGUGCGGUAGAGGAUGGCGGAAUUCCCGGUGUAGCAGUGAAAUGCGUAGAGAUCGGGAGGAACACCCGUGGCGAAGGCGGCCAUCUGGACCAGCACUGACGCUGAGGAGCGAAAGCGUGGGGAGCGAACAGG
rnacentral:rRNA from 1 species